rnacentral:rRNA from 1 species
UACGGGGGGAGCAAGCGUUGUUCGGAUUUACUGGGCGUAAAGGGCGCGUAGGCGGCGUAACAAGUCACUUGUGAAAUCUCCGGGCUUAACCCGGAGCGGCCAAGUGAUACUGUUGUGCUAGAGUGCGGAAGGGGCUACUGGAAUUCUCGGUGUAGCGGUGAAAUGCGUAGAUAUCGAGAGGAACACCUGCGGCGAAGGCGGGUAGCUGGGCCGACACUGACGCUGAGGCGCGAAGGCCAGGGGAGCGAACGGG